ACUAUACAUACAUACGAACACUAGACUCACUACUGAACAAACAAUGCAAGCUGAACAGGACGAGGAAGAAAAAGCGUCAGAAAAAGCAGGAGAAGAGGAGGAAGAUGAAGAGGAAGAGAAAAAAGAUGACGAUAAACCAGAAGAAGGAGAAGAUACUGACAAAAAAGAGGAUAGUCAAGAUACACCAGAAACAGAAGAGAAAAGCGAGGG